GGAAGGAUCAUUGAAUCUAUCGAACAACACUCACAGGAUGCAGAGUUUGGGUGGCGUAUGCCACCCUUAGCUCACAACGCAACACGUGUGCUCCAAACAUCAAUUCAAAUUUAUCAGACACUCAGCUUAGCUGGCUGUCAACAACCUAUACAACUCUCAACAACGGAUAUCUUGGCUCUCGCAACGAUGAAGAACGCAGCGAAAUGCGAUACGUAGUGUGAAUUGCAGAAUUCCGUGAACCAUCGAAUCUUUGAACGCAUAUUGCGCCCGAAGCUUCGGCUUAGGGCAUGCCUGCCUCAGCGUCAGAAAUGGACCAUCGCUCCACACGUUAACGUGUAGCAAGCCGAUGAUUGGUUUGCUUUGGAGCGGAGCUGACUCUCCCAUGGACAUGUUUUUAUGGGUCGGUCGAAGUAUAGAGGCAUGAGCAAGGAACACAUACGCUCCAACUGGACAGGUUCGCAUCAGUGCAUGCGCAACACGAAGUUGAGGCGUGGUCUUUGCAAGUGCCAAGCAGGAGCCACGGAAGUGGCGUCACAUGUAUUUGACCUGAGCUCAGGCAAGAUUACCCGCUGAACUUAAGCAUAUCAAUAAGCGGAGGAAAAGAAACUAACAAGGAUUCCCUUAGUAACGGCGAGCGAACAGGGAACAGCCCAACUGUAAAUCUCCCUUUGGAGAAUUGUAGUCUGUAGAAGCUUCCUCUGUGGCUUGCGGAGCCCAAGUCCCCUGGAAAGGGGCGUCAAAGAGGGUGACAACCCCGUCGGUUCCAGCCAAGUCGCUUCACGAGGUGCUUUCGAAGAGUCGGGUUGCUUGGGAAUGCAGCCCAAAGUGGGUGGUAAAUCCCAUCUAAGGCUAAAUACUGGCGAGAGACCGAUAGCGAACAAGUACCGUGAGGGAAAGAUGAAAAGAACUUUGAAAAGAGAGUUAAAAAGUGCUUGAAAUUGUUGAGAGGGAAGCGUUUGGAAGAUGCGGGUGCGCCUAGGCUUACGCGUCUUUAACGAGCCGUUGUAUGUGCUAGGUGCUGGUCAACAUGGGUUGCAAUGGUGGGAUAACCGCAAGGAUUGCUACCUUGUCUAUACCACCGUUGCGACCAAGGCGUGAAGGACGCCCUUGCCCUUCGGGAGCAGCGUUCUCAAGAUGUUGGCAGAAGUCUUCCAACCGGCCCGUCUUGAAACACGGACCAAGGAGUCUAACAUGUAUGCGAGUUGGUGGGUUGCAAACCCAUGAAGCGCAAGGAAACUAACUGGUGGGAUGGCCUGUGCCUGCACCAUCUACCGACCAUGAGCUUUUGCGAAAGGUUUGAGUGCGAGCAUACCUGUUGGGACCCGAAAGAUGGUGAACUAUGCCUGAGCAGGGCGAAGUCAGAGGAAACUCUGAUGGAGGCUCGUAGAUGUGCUGACGUGCAAAUCGCUUUUCGGACUUGGGUAUAGGGGCGAAAGACUAAUCGAACCAUCUAGUAGCUGGUUCCCUC
rnacentral:misc_RNA from 1 species